UGUUGCUUCAUAGAUGUUGAAUGAAUGAUGUCAUCAAUUCUUCCUCUUCCUCUCAAAGUCAGGACUUGGAUUGUGUUAGUGGCCUUUGGUUGUGCUGCUGCUGCUUUGCUCAUCACUGUCCUGCUUAAACAAAAACAUCACAACAGUCUGUCACACAGAGACCAUGAGAUGAGUGAGAUGCCUCAAACUACAGACAGAGACACUGAUAUGACCCAAACACCUCUCGUCAUACAGGAGAACAAUCAAGUCAGAAGACGGACACCUACUGGGAAUAAUCAAGAGUGAAAAUCCAUGGUCGUCAUCUUGAAUAGAGAGAAGACCUCAUCUUGACUGAUGUCAACUGUUUACUAAAAAGCAAGGACUGACACCAAUGUUGAACC